AGUUACUUCAACAAUUUGUACACUAUCUUUGACCUGAUUAUCCAUUUCCAACGUGUAUGUAUAUUGGAUUGAAAGGUGAUAAUUAUCUUGGUCAGUAUCUAUCUAUCUAUCUAUAACUAACUAAAGCUAGAGGGAUUUGAGUACUGUUCAUCAAAAGAAACCUGCAAGGGCCGGGUCAAGGGUCGGGUCUUGGAGCGGUUUUCCGAUACCUAUGCAGGAGGUCCGAAAACGUAGCUGCACUGUACGGAGUAUCUUCCCUGCAGAUUUGCAAAUCUGCUGCAAUCUUCCCCUCUUCCCCAUUUGCCCCCCUCAUCCACGAAAUAUUAUUUUGCAAAUUUGCUGCAAUCCGGCAAUUAUUUUGCUGAUAAAUGAAAUUGCCGGAUUUCAUAUCUGUUUCUUUACAUAUUGUCGGCGGGGAAGGUUGUCGGUUGAGAGACCUUCGUCUUUCGACGGCCACAACGCCGUAGCUCCGACUCCGCUCCGCCGUCCGAAGACUGACCCUGAUCUUCUGUCAUACCGGAACCACGCCGGAUCGCCGCCAAAGCUGCUCCUGAAGGUGACGGUUCUUGGAAGCCUCGGGCCUGUGCAGAUUCUCAUGAGGCCGGAAUCCACCGUCGGCGAGUUGAUGGCGGUGGUGGCGCGGCAGUACGUGAAGGAAGCUCGCCGUCCGAUCCGGUCGACCAACGAUGCCUCCAUUUCGACCUUCAUUACUCGUAGUUUAGCCUAGAAAGUUUGCAUAGGGAGGAGAAACUGGUAGAACUUGGGUCUAGGAACUUUUUCAUGAUGCUAAGAUGCAGGUUCUGUUUAUUUUUUUAGGUGCAAGAUGCUAAGUUUGUGUUUGAGGCAAAGACUAUUCUGAAAAUGGAGCUUCUAGUUCUGUCCACACUCAAAUGGAAGAUGCAUCCUGUGACUCCACUUUCAUUUCUAGAUCACAGUAUCAGAAGGCUUGGAUUGAAAACCCACCUUCACUGGGAGUUUCUCAGGCGCUGUGAGCAUCUUCUUCUGUCUCUGCUUUUAGAUUCAAGAUUUGUUGGUGUUCUUCCUUCUGUGUUGGCCACUGCAACAAUGCUGCAUGUUAUAGACCAUAUUGAGAAUAGUGAUGGGGUGGAAUACAAAAAGCAGCUUCUGGGUGUUCUCAAAAUUAACAAGGGGAAAGUAGAUGAAUGCUAUGAUGCCAUGCUUGAGCUUACUAAUGCCAAUGAUUAUGAUGAUAACAAGAAGGUUAAUAAGCGCAAGUAUGAGGAAAUAAUCCCUGGUAGCCCAAGUGGCGCCAUUGAUGCUGCUUUUAACUCUGAUGGUUCCAACGAUUCGUGGACAGUGGGGUCAUCAUUGUUUUCAUGUGCCAAAGGAAAAACAUGCCGCUACCACCACCCCUGUCGCUGAAGGUGGUGGCGUGACGACGGCGUUUGCGUCAGAUUGCUUUGAGAAAGGGGUGCUUUGAUGGAGCGGCGGAAUGAGAGGGAAAGCUCGCCAGAUUGGUUCUUUUCAGCCGUUUUUCUUCAAUGUUCUGUGGCUGAUUCUCUGUUCUUUCACAGGGAUCAGGAGAUGAGGAGAUGUCAAAGUUGCUUCCUUCUCAGAAAAAGAAAAUGAGACAAAAACAAAGAAAGACAGAAGCAAGAGCUAAGACUAUAUUGUACUAAUUUCUAUAGCUUCGUUUGAACUUGUUGCAUGAAGGAUCUGAUUCUUGCUUUGUCCUGGAAAUGAGUCCGAGAGGUUCUUUUCAUGAAUCAACUUUGGCUUCCAGUGACGUGGAAUUUCAUAGUCCAACAUUAAAAAAUAUCAUGGAAACUGACAAUGAAGUAUUUCAAGAAUCAAAACAGUGGGAGCAAGAAAGUAGAUAUAUCUCACAAAAACAAAUGGAGUCUCUUGCUGGUGUUAUGGAUGAGGAGGUGAUUGGCAUCAUAACAAUGGAGGAUGUUAUGGAGGAACUAUUACAGGGAGACAUACCAGGUGAAACUAAUGAUGCUCAUAGCUGCCAAAAACAUAGGCACGGACAAUCCAGCUGCCAAAAUCUUCCUCCGCCGUAUUGUAUCUCCGGAAGAUUUUCUUGAUCUACUACUUCGGAUUUGUACCGGAAUUGCCCCAUAACCGAGCUUGAUUUUCUGCAAAUUGUUCAUCAUGGCUGCUAUAAAAACUCAAUCCAUGUUCAGUCAUUAGCACUAUGCGGGAACGUCAGUCAAAGAUAUCCGCCAGUACAAUUGCUGGAUUCUCUUUCCAAUUCUUCAAGAUUUUGUACCCUAAUUUAUGAUUGUGGAAAAGGGAUGCUUUGAAUGACAGGGAGGCGAGGAGGGAGUGGAUCAGCGGAGGCGAUGAAGGGGAUGAGGGAGGAGAGUGAAACGGCUUCUAGGAGGUGUUCGAGGGCAUGUGUGUGGGAGGAGUUGAGGAGGCGUUGGAGAUCAGAGAGGCAGGAGAUGGGUUUGUGUGUGGUGGUUGUCGGGGAGGUCCUCGAACUCUACCACUAUGCGGGAUAUGGUUUCCUCCAUCUCCGUCAUCACCAUCGCUGUCUCUCUGCUUCCCAAGAUGAUGUACACAUAUUUGUAAUGCAGGAAAAUGAGACAGAUGCAAAAGUUUCUAGCUUAGGAGAGAGAUAUGAAGGUUCGGGAAAGAAGAGGAUAUUAAGAUUUUGUGGCAUUGUGAAACUUCUGCAUUUCUAUGAUAAUUGUCAGGUGGGCUAGCCUUGGCUGCUGCUGCAAUUUCAUUUGCCGAACACACAAAUGAUCGGCUAGGUAAGAAACCACAAUGUUUUCUUUGAAUGAACUGCUUGCAAUGUUCAAGGAGUUCGCCUUGGUCGAUGAAGUCAACAUCAUCAAGGAUAAAGCCACACGCGCUUCCCAGGUCGAUUUCAUUUCUCUUCUCUCAUUCUCCGACACCUAUAUUAUCAACUAUCAGCCAUGAUUUCCCGCUCCACUCGCAGGUUGUUGCUUUUCGAUUUGUCCAUCUAGGGAUGAGGCUGAUAAGGCAGGCAAUGCGAGUUGCCAAACUGGCUGUAGCCGCUGAGGUGCAUAGCUUUUGGGCUGCUGUUAGUCUGUUAUUGAUAUCCCCAAUUUUUAUGGAUUACGUUAAUGAAAGCGGGAGAAGAGGAUUGAAAUUGAGUAGUUAAAGCACCUCAUGCUUUUGAUUAAUCAUUAACCUUUUCACUUUGCAAUAACUAUUGGCCCAGAGAAAGGGAUGCAGCAAGGAAGACAACCACCUUUGUCUGAGUUUUUGCUCCUCUUUCUGAACAGGUAGGAACAAAUUGCUACUUUAAUUGGAUCAGCUUAUGUAUGUUCCAUAAGAUUAUUCAGGUGCACCUAUCCAAAUACACUAGACACUUUUACAAACUGAGAAUUAAAAUUGGCCCUUCACAUUUUUUUCAAGCUUUUUUUACAUGUCAUGAUGGUUCGGGGUUCGGGAUGAGCAAAUGGAGGGAAAUUGCUUGAGGUUCCCCAUGAGAUUCUUCUAAAUACAUCUUGGAUUGCUAUUGUAUUUUUCUUAAUUUUUGACUUUAAACUAUCAUCGAAUUUAUGACAUAUAGACAUUUGAGGGUGUGCUUUA